GCCCUUCCCAUGAGCCUGCUGCGAAGUAAGUGAAGGUUUGUCAACGGUUUCAGGACAGCAUCUGCCUUUAUUUGGAAAAAUCCUCCAGGGGCGUCUAGAAACUUAGCCAGGUUGACAUUCCAGAGUAAGUGUAUAAUCCAAGUUCCACGUCAAUGGGUGACUAUAAGAAUUAAGUGACUCAGUGGAUGCAAGUCCCUUCCAAUGCUGUCUGUCAUCCAGCCAGAGGACCACACCCUUUAUCUAUGGAAAUAUGAAGAAAACUAUCUGCAUUUCCCAGCAGGCCUUGGGAUAGUGGACACAGCCUCCUGGAUUCUGAAGUCUGAUUAUAUAAUUAAUCUGGACCUUGAGCCAUUUCAGCCCAGUUCCUUGUAAACAUGCUGACACCAUCAGAAUAUGAAUAAUUAGGAGAAUAUCUCGUUCUCACUUAUCACUAGAACUACUUGGAACAUGUAAGUGAGCUAUGACUAAUCUGUUCUUGUUGAUCAAAGCAAUAAACAAACAACCAGGGCAAA